rnacentral:rRNA from 1 species
UCAAGUAAUUAAGUGCAUGUGGUGGAUGCCUUGGCAGUCAGAGGCGACGAAAGACGUGAUAGCCUGCGAAAAGCUCCGGGGAGGCGGCAAAUAUCCUUUGAUCCGGAGAUGUCUGAAUGGGGGAACCCACUUAUCAUAAGAUAGGUAUUGCAUGAUGAAUACAUAGUCAUGCAAGGCGAACGAGGGGAAGUGAAACAUCUCAGUACCCUUAGGAAAAGAAAUCAAUUGAGAUUCCCUUAGUAGCGGCGAGCGAAAGGGGAACAGCCCAUUAAGUUGUGUGUGUUCUAGUGGAACGCUCUGGGAAGUGCGAACGUAGAGGGUGAUAUUCCCGUACACGAAAGGGCACACACAAUGAUGACGAGUAGGGCGAGGCACGUGAAACCUUGUCUGAAUAUGGGGGGACCAUCCUCCAAGGCUAAAUACUCCUGACUGACCGAUAGUGAACCAGUACCGUGAGGGAAAGGCGAAAAGAACCCCGGCGAGGGGAGUGAAAAAGAACCUGAAACCGUGUACGUACAAGCAGUGGGAGCACCUUCGUGGUGUGACUGCGUACCUUUUGUAUAAUGGGUCAGCGACUUAUAUUCUGUAGCAAGGUUAACCGUAUAGGGGAGCCGAAGGGAAACCGAGUCUUAACUGGGCGUUAAGUUGCAGGGUAUAGACCCGAAACCCGGUGAUCUAGCCAUGGGCAGGUUGAAGGUUGGGUAACACUAACUGGAGGACCGAACCGACUAAUGUUGAAAAAUUAGCGGAUGACUUGUGGCUGGGGGUGAAAGGCCAAUCAAACCGGGAGAUAGCUGGUUCUCCCCGAAAGCUAUUUAGGUAGCGCCUCGUGAAUUCAUCUCCGGGGGUAGAGCACUGUUUCGGCUAGGGGGCCAUCCCGGCUUACCAACCCGAUGCAAACUGCGAAUACCGGAGAAUGUUAUCACGGGAGACACACGGCGGGUGCUAACGUCCGUCGUGAAGAGGGAAACAACCCAGACCGCCAGCUAAGGUCCCAAAGUCAUGGUUAAGUGGGAAACGAUGUGGGAAGGCACAGACAGCCAGGAUGUUGGCUUAGAAGCAGCCAUCAUUUAAAGAAAGCGUAAUAGCUCACUGGUCGAGUCGGCCUGCGCGGAAGAUGUAACGGGGCUAAACCAUGCACCGAAGCUGCGGCAGCGACACUAUGUGUUGUUGGGUAGGGGAGCGUUCUGUAAGCCGUCGAAGGUGACCUGUGAGGGUUGCUGGAGGUAUCAGAAGUGCGAAUGCUGACAUAAGUAACGAUAAAGCGGGUGAAAAGCCCGCUCGCCGGAAGACCAAGGGUUCCUGUCCAACGUUAAUCGGGGCAGGGUGAGUCGACCCCUAAGGCGAGGCCGAAAGGCGUAGUCGAUGGGAAACAGGUUAAUAUUCCUGUACUUGGUGUUACUGCGAAGGGGGGACGGAGAAGGCUAUGUUAGCCGGGCGACGGUUGUCCCGGUUUAAGCAUGUAGGCUGAUUAUCCAGGCAAAUCCGGAUAAUCAAGGCUGAGGUGUGAUGACGAGUCACUACGGUGAUGAAGUAACAAAUGCCCUGCUUCCAGGAAAAGCCUCUAAGCAUCAGGUAACACGAAAUCGUACCCCAAACCGACACAGGUGGUCAGGUAGAGAAUACCAAGGCGCUUGAGAGAACUCGGGUGAAGGAACUAGGCAAAAUGGUGCCGUAACUUCGGGAGAAGGCACGCUGAUAUGUAGGUGAAGCCCCUGCGGGUGGAGCUGAAAUCAGUCGAAGAUACCAGCUGGCUGCAACUGUUUAUUAAAAACACAGCACUGUGCAAACACGAAAGUGGACGUAUACGGUGUGACGCCUGCCCGGUGCCGGAAGGUUAAUUGAUGGGGUUAGCGGCAACGCGAAGCUCUUGAUCGAAGCCCCGGUAAACGGCGGCCGUAACUAUAACGGUCCUAAGGUAGCGAAAUUCCUUGUCGGGU